rnacentral:rRNA from 1 species
UACGUAGGGUGCGAGCGUUAAUCGGAAUUACUGGGCGUAAAGCGUGCGCAGGCGGUUUUGUAAGCCCGAUGUGAAAUCCCCGGGCUUAACCUGGGAAUGGCAUUUGGGACUGCAAGGCUCGAGUGCGGCAGAGGAGACUGGAAUUCCUGGUGUAGCAGUGAAAUGCGUAGAUAUCAGGAGGAACACCGAUGGCGAAGGCAGGUCUCUGGGCUGACACUGACGCUGAGGAGCGAAAGCGUGGGGAGCGAACAGG